GAGUUUGAUCCUGGCUCAGGACGAACGCUGGCGGCGUGCUUAACACAUGCAAGUCGAACGGAAAGGCCCUUCGGGGUACUCGAGUGGCGAACGGGUGAGUAACACGUGGGUGAUCUGCCCUGCACUCUGGGAUAAGCCUGGGAAACUGGGUCUAAUACCGGAUAGGACCGCAUGCUUCAUGGUGUGUGGCGCAAAGCUUUUGCGGUGUGGGAUGAGCCCGCGGCCUAUCAGCUUGUUGGUGGGGUAAUGGCCUACCAAGGCGACGACGGGUAGCCGGCCUGAGAGGGUGACCGGCCACACUGGGACUGAGAUACGGCCCAGACUCCUACGGGAGGCAGCAGUGGGGAAUAUUGCACAAUGGGCGCAAGCCUGAUGCAGCGACGCCGCGUGAGGGAUGACGGCCUUCGGGUUGUAAACCUCUUUCAGUAGGGACGAAGCGAAAGUGACGGUACCUACAGAAGAAGGACCGGCCAACUACGUGCCAGCAGCCGCGGUAAUACGUAGGGUCCGAGCGUUGUCCGGAAUUACUGGGCGUAAAGAGCUCGUAGGUGGUUUGUCGCGUUGUUCGUGAAAACUCACAGCUUAACUGUGGGCGUGCGGGCGAUACGGGCAGACUAGAGUACUGCAGGGGAGACUGGAAUUCCUGGUGUAGCGGUGGAAUGCGCAGAUAUCAGGAGGAACACCGGUGGCGAAGGCGGGUCUCUGGGCAGUAACUGACGCUGAGGAGCGAAAGCGUGGGUAGCGAACAGGAUUAGAUACCCUGGUAGUC
rnacentral:rRNA from 1 species